rnacentral:rRNA from 1 species
UGGGGAAUUUUGGACAAUGGGCGAAAGCCUGAUCCAGCAAUGCCGCGUGUGUGAAGAAGGCCUUCGGGUUGUAAAGCACUUUUGUCCGGAAAGAAAUCCUUGGCUCUAAUACAGUCGGGGGAUGACGGUACCGGAAGAAUAAGCACCGGCUAACUACGUGCCAGCAGCCGCGGUAAUACGUAGGGUGCAAGCGUUAAUCGGAAUUACUGGGCGUAAAGCGUGCGCAGGCGGUUUGCUAAGACCGAUGUGAAAUCCCCGGGCUCAACCUGGGAACUGCAUUGGUGACUGGCAGGCUAGAGUAUGGCAGAGGGGGGUAGAAUUCCACGUGUAGCAGUGAAAUGCGUAGAGAUGUGGAGGAAUACCGAUGGCGAAGGCAGCCCCCUGGGCCAAUACUGACGCUCAUGCACGAAAGCGUGGGGAGCAAACAGGAUUAGUACCCUGGUAAUCCACGCCCUAAACGAUGUCAACUAGUUGUU